rnacentral:rRNA from 1 species
AUUUGUCUGGUUAAUUCCGAUAACGAACGAGACCUUAACCUGCUAACUAGAUUCAUUAUUACUACUAUUGCAAUCUUCUUAGAGGGACUAUGUAAAACAAAUACAUGGAAGUUUGAGGCAAUAACAGGUCAGUGAUGCCCUUAUAUGUCCUGGGCUGCACGCGUGCUACACUGAUGCAUACAACAAGUGCCUAACCAGACAUGGUAUGGCAAUCUCGAAUAUGCAUCGUGAUGGGGAUAGAUCUUUGCAAUUAUAGAUCUUGAACGAGGAAUUCCUAGUAAGUGCAAGUCAUCAUCUUGCAUUGAUUAUGUCCCUGCCCUUUGUACACACCGCCCGUCGCUCCUACCGAUACCGGGUGAUCCGGUGAACCUUUUGGACUCUUUACUGGGAAAGAUAAGUAAACCAUAUCACCUAGAGGAAGGAGAAGUCGUAACAAGGUUUCCGUAGGUGAACCUGCRGAAGGAUCA